rnacentral:SRP_RNA from 1 species
CCAUGCUAGGCGGGGAGCUAGCGGUGCCCUUCACCCGCAAUCCGCUGCAGCGGGGCCGAAUGAUCUGUGCGGCAGAGCGCAGCGGGAAUGGACCCGUGCAAGUGGUGACGAUGGUCAGGACCUGAGCGGCGUCAGCCCGUGAACCCCGUCAGGACCGGAAGGUAGCAGCGGUAAGCGGUGUCUGCCGGGCGACUCGGGACAACCUGACCUGAGCCGGCUGCACGAUACAUCCCGUGAGGCCUGUCCAGCAGGUAUGCAUGG